rnacentral:rRNA from 1 species
AAACUUAAAUGAAUUGACGGGACCCGCACAAGCGGUGGAUGAUGUGGUUUAAUUCGAUGCAACGCGAAAACCUUACCACCUUUGACAUGGCAGGAAUCCUAAAGAGAUUUUGGAGUGCUCGAAAGAGAACCUGCACACAGGUGCUGCAUGGCUGUCGUCAGCUCGUGUCGUGAGAUGUUGGGUUAAGUCCCGCAACGAGCGCAACCCUUGCCAUUAGUUGCUACGAAAGGGCACUCUAAUGGGACUGCCGGUGACAAACCGGAGGAAGGUGGGGAUGACGUCAAGUCCUCAUGGCCCUUAUGGGUAGGGCUUCACACGUCAUACAAUGGUCGGUACAGAGGGUUGCCAACCCGCGAGGGGGAGCUAAUCCCACAAAGCCGAUCGUAGUCCGGAUCGCAGUCUGCAACUCGACUGCGUGAAGUCGGAAUCGCUAGUAAUCGUGGAUCAGCAUGUCACGGUGAAUACGUUCCCGGGUCUU